rnacentral:misc_RNA from 1 species
CUCCCCUGCUUCGGCAGGACCCCCCCUCCCGGGAGAGCCAUAGUGGUCUGCGGAACCGGUGAGUACACCGGAAUUGCCAGGACGACCGGGUCCUUUCUUGGAUAAACCCGCUCAAUGCCUGGAGAUUUGGGCGUGCCCCCGCAAGACUGCUAGCCGAGUAGUGUUGGGUCGCGAAAGGCCUUGUGGUACUGCCUGAUAGGGUGCUUGCGAGUGCCCCGGGAGGUCUCGUAGACCGUGCACCAUGAGCACGAAUCCUAAACCUCAAAGAAAAAGAU